rnacentral:misc_RNA from 1 species
CCCAACUAUCCCUAUUAAUCAUUACGGUGAUCCUAGAAACCAACAAAAUAGAAUCAUGCCGUCCUAUUUUAUUAUUCCAUGCUAAUGUAUUCAAGCAAAAUGCCUGCUUUAAACACUCUAAUUUUUUCAAAGUAAAGGUCCUGGUUCCCCGCGAUGCCCUUAAUUGGGUGUCGCGGUUCUCCAGAAGGUGAGAAAUUGACUACACCAGUUCAUACCCCUUAAGGCACGACCGAUGUGUCAAUCCCGAAAUUCAACUACGAGCUUUUUAACUGCAACAACUUUAAUAUACGCUAUUGGAGCUGGAAUUACCGCGGCUGCUGGCACCAGACUUGCCCUCCAA